rnacentral:rRNA from 1 species
CCUACGGGUGGCAGCAGUGAGGAAUAUUGGUCAAUGGGCGCGAGCCUGAACCAGCCAAGUAGCGUGAAGGAUGACUGCCCUACGGGUUGUAAACUUCUUUUAUAAAGGAAUAAAGUGAGGCACGUGUGCCUUUUUGUAUGUACUUUAUGAAUAAGGAUCGAUUACCUCGUGCCCGCCGCCGCGGUAAUACGGAGGAUCCGCACGUUAUCCGGAUUUAUUGGGUUUAAAGGGAGCGUAGAUGGGUUGUUAAGUCAGUGUUGAAAGUUUUCGGCGCAACCGUAAAAUUGCAAUUGAUACUGGCAGCCUUGAGUACAGGUGAGGUAGGCGGAAUGCGUGGUGUAGCGGUGAAAUGCUUAGAUAUCACGAAGAACUCCGAUUGCGAAGGCAGCCUACUAAACUGCCACUGACAUUGAUGCUCGAAAGUGUGGGUAUCAAACAGGAUUAGAUACCCGGGUAGUC